rnacentral:sRNA from 1 species
GCUGGGCACGGUGGCUCAUGCCUGUAAUCCCAGCACUUUGGGAGGCUGAGGCAGGUGAAUCACCUGAGGUCAGGAGUUCAAGACCAGCCUGACCAACAUGGUGAAACCCCGUCUCUA